CCUACGUGAGGCAGCAGUGGGGAAUAUUGCGCAAUGGGCGAAAGCCUGACGCAGCGACGCCGCGUGAGGGAUGAAGGUCUUCGGAUCGUAAACCUCUGUCAGCAGGGAAGAACGGUCACUGUGCUAAUCAGCAGUGAAUUGACGGUACCUGCAAAGGAAGCACCGGCUAACUCCGUGCCAGCAGCCGCGGUAAUACGGAGGGUGCGAGCGUUAAUCGGAAUUACUGGGCGUAAAGCGCUCGUAGGCGGUAUGUCAAGUCAAGGGUGAAAUCCCCGCGCGCAACGUGGGAACUGCCUUUGAAACGGGCAAACUGGAGUGUGUGAGAGGAUAGUGGGAGUCCAGGUGUAGGAGUGAAAUCCGUAGAUAUCUGGAGGAACAUCAGUGGCGAAGGCGACUAUCUGGCACAUAACUGACGCUGAGGAGCGAAAGCGUGGGUAGCAAACAGGAUUAGAUACCCUAGUAGUC
rnacentral:rRNA from 1 species